AUGGUCGCCCCGCUCUCCCUCCUCGCCGCCCUCCUCGCCGUCGUCCAUGUCCACGGCGCCGACGCUCUCUCAGGGUACCAGAUAAACUGCGGCGCGGGCGGCGAGCGCGUGGUCGGCAACGUGACAUGGGUCCCGGACGGGCCGUUCGUGCGCGUCGGCAGCGCCGCCGCCGUCCCGUCCCCGCCGGGCGGCGGCGGGAUGCCGCCGAUGCUCUCCUCGCUCCGCUACUUCCCGGACGCGUCGGCCAGGAAGCACUGCUACGUGCUCCCCGCGGCGAGGAAGGCCACGUACCUGGUCCGCACCACGUACUACUACGGCGGGUUCGACGGCGGUGACAAGCCGCCAGUGUUCGACCAGAUCAUCGAGGGCACGCGGUGGAGCGAGGUGGACACGGCGGCCGACUACGCCCGCGGCCGCGCCACCUACUUCGAGGCCGUCGUGCGCGCCACCGGCCGGCAGGUCAGCGUGUGCGUGGCGAGGAACGCGGGCACCGCGCCCACGUCCAGCCCCUUCAUCUCCGCGCUCGAGGUGGUGCCGCUGGACGACUCGGUGUACAACUCCACCGACUUCUCCUCCUACGCCCUCAGCACCAUCGCGCGCCACAGCUUCGGCCACGACGCCUCCGUCCUCAGCCAUCCAGAUGCAGGAGAUGAGUUCAACCGGUACUGGGAGCCGUACAGCGACGGCGCCCCGGUGGUGGAGAGCCAGGGGAGCGUGGCGCCGGCGGCGUUCUGGAACAAGCCACCGGAGGACGUGUUCCGGCGCGGAGUGACUGCCAGCCGCGGGGAUACCCUCGAGCUCCAGUGGCCGCCGGCGCCGCUGCCCAAGGCGAGCUACUACCUGGCGCUCUACUUCCAGGACAACCGGGCGCCGAGCCCGCUCAGCUGGAGGGUCUUCGACGUCGCGGUCAACGGCCAGGCCUUCUUCGCCGGCCUGAAUGUCUCGACGGCGGGGUCAAUGCUGUACGGCGCCGCAUGGCCGCUCUCCGGGCAGACCAAGAUCACGCUGACGCCCGCCCCGGGGUCGCCGGUCGGGCCGGUGAUCAAUGCGGCGGAGCUCAUGAUGGUUGUUCCGCUCGGAGGGAGGACUCAUCCUAGAGAUGUGAUCGGCAUGGAGGGGCUCGCGAGAGGCUUCGCCAAGCCGCCGUCGGACUGGAGCGGCGAUCCUUGCUUGCCCGUCGGGAACUCCUGGACCGGUGUUUCCUGCAGCCAAGGCGCACUUGCUCGAGUAACUGCUCUCAACCUCACCAAUUUCAGUGUUGGAGGGUCCAUAUCUGACAGCAUUGCUAACCUGACUGCAAUCUCGAGCGUCUGGCUUGUGGGGAACAAUCUGACAGGACAAAUUCCAGUUAUGAGCUCUCUGCAUCAUUUGGCAUCUCUGCACCUGGAGGACAACCAGUUGGCAGGGCCGAUUCCUCCGUCACUCGGAGACCUUCCAAGACUUCAGGAACUCUUUGUGCAGAACAACAAUUUACAGGGCAGCAUUCCGAUCGGCCUCAACAGAACGAGCAUUACGUUCAAGUACACACCUGGGAAUAACCUUAACCAACAAUAA
rnacentral:rRNA from 1 species